AGAGUUUGAUCAUGGCUCAGGAUGAACGCUAGCGACGGGCUUAACACAUGCAAGUCGAGGGGCAGCAUGAACUUAGCUUGCUAAGUUUGAUGGCGACCGGCGCACGGGUGAGUAACGCGUAUGCAACUUACCUAUCAGAGGAGAAUAGCUCAUCGAAAGAUGAAUUAAUGCUCCAUAAAACAGGGGUCCCGCAUGGGAAUAUUUGUUAAAGAUUCAUCGCUGAUAGAUAGG
rnacentral:rRNA from 1 species